AGUGGAGGUUUCGGCGGUGGAGGACUAGGAAGUGGUGGAGGAGGCUUCGGUGGAGGAAGCGGAGGCCACGGAGGAGGUGGAGGAGGCGGAGGCUUCGGAUCGAGCUUCAGCAGCAGCAGCAGCGGCUUCUCCGGCACCGGCUCAGGCUUUAGCAGCAGCAACAGCGGGGCCUUCGGAAGCGGCGGCUCAGGCUUCAGCAGCGGAAACAGUGGCUUCACCAGCGGUGGACUCGCCUCCGGUGGAGGUGGAGGAGGUGGAAGCGGUGGAGGCGUUUGCUGUGGAAAAUGGUAGACGAAAGACCAACAACGACGCUGGACCGGUUGGCUGUUGCAUCUAGAAUCAAUAAAGAGUAUCAAUCUGAA